AAAUUUCUGGGAAAAAAGAUAAAACGACUUAGACGCAAGCGUCGUUGUUCGUUUUCCUAUUUUUCUAGAAAUUU
rnacentral:ncRNA from 1 species